rnacentral:lncRNA from 1 species
AUAUCGACCAGCAGCCGCGACGUUUGCUUUAACGCAAGCAUCAUUUGAAGAGGUUGCAUUGAAGUUCAUUCAAGUGUCGGAGCAAGAUUCUUUGAAAGUAUUUCUAGUGAAGAAAUUGAAUAAUAUGGACAAUAAGGUUUGUGGGAUAGGGUUGUUCAUAUAUAUAUCUGCCCACCACAUACCAUACCAUACCAUACCAUGUCAUGUCACACCAUGCCAUACCACACCAUACCAUACCAUAUCUUACCAUAGCACAACAUACCUUGCCAUACCACACCAUUCCAUGCUAUUACAUACAUAACUUACCACAAACCACACCAGAUCAUAACACACCAUUCCAUAUCUUGCCAUUCCAUGCCAUACCAUACUACAUACAUUACCAUCAUCCCUUGCCAUGCAACACCAUACCACUUUGAACCAUAUCACUUCAUUUCAUACCAUGCCACACCAUUGCAUCACAUACCAUACCAUACCAUACCAUACAACAUCACAUUAUACCAUUCAUAGUGUACCAUUCAAUACCACACCAUACAAUAUUGUACCGUACAAAUAGCUUACCGCACCAUACUAAUCCAUACAGCACCAUACCAUACCAUUUCUUGCCAUGCUACGCCGCACCGCACCGUAUCACGCCAUUUCAUACCAUGCCACACAGUACCAUGCCAUGCCAUAUUAUAGCACACCACAUCAUUGUCCAUACAAUACAACACCGCAACAUUUCCUGACAUGCUACACCACGCUUUGCCAUGCUGUACCAUACCAUUUUACCUUUCUAAAUCUAAACCUUCACUCGUUAGGACAAAAGUCAGAUCACCAUGAUUACAAUGUGGCUUAUUGAACUUUACUUGAACGAACUUGGAGAAUUACGAGAUGUCGGGGAAGAGAAGAGGCAAGACUUCGAAAGAGUGCAGGAUGAUUUUAGAAAACUGCUUGCAACAAACAAAGUUAAG